GCCACACGGGGGCAGCAGAGCCUCAGCGGCUGCCGCAGCGGGUCCAGUUUCCGGCCGCCGGGGUUGGGCUGGCGGUGCCUGGGGGUCCUCCCCAGAGGCCCGCGUGUGAAACGUCCGAGUGCGCUGGGCGCUGGACACGGAGAUGGGUGCUUGGGCCACGGGCCUGGGGGACCCCACACGGCCGGCUAGGCAGGCCCAGACAGCCCAGGGUGGGGGUUCCAUGGGGGCAGGAGGGGAGAAGCCUGGGCUGUGGAGCAGCUGGGACGUCCGGGGAAGGGCCUGGGGGUCAGAGGGGCGGCUCCCGGGACAGGGAGGCACGUGGAGGGGCGGGGUUUGUGGCAGCCCCGGAGCCGCCUCUGAAGCUUCCAUCUGCAGCCUCCUGUGGGGCCGGGUCUGCUUCUCUUGCUGGGCACCCACAUCCACCCCCGAGGGGUGUGCGACAACCCCCAUUCCAGCCCACUCAGAUGGUCUCUAGCCCCUCCCGUCACAGUGAACCCCGGUGUCGGUGCGAGACGCCUCCGUGUAUUCCCGGACGUCCCUCUGCAGGCCCAUCCCCACCUCACAGACAGUCACACCCUUCCAGGCCUUGCCCCAUCCCCAGUCCCUGGCCUCACCAUCGCAUUGCAGGGAGGCGGGCAUAUGCAACCUCCAUGAAAUAAAGCCCUAACGGAGAAGGCCAGAGUGGGAACUUCGUUUCCACCAGCAGGCAAGCUGUUUAGUGAGAAAGAAAGGGCCCUGCAAAGAUCCUCCCCAGGUGGACGGGCAGCCCCCAAGCCUGUCUUGAGCUCCCGGACGCUGCUCCUGGGGAAGGGCCUGCCGAGGACAGGGGCCAGUGGGAGCCCCUGCCUGACCACAGGCUGUUCUGCAGCCCAGGUCAGGAGCGCUGGUGCCUGCCGUGUGGGGUGGCCCUGGUCCUGACCGCCUGGGGUCCCAGGUGGUCCCGGGUUGUAAGAGUCUGUGGUGCUUGUGAAAAGCUUGCACAUCCUUCCAGGGGAGACUCGCGCGUGGGGCGAGGGCAGGAGCAGGAGCUCAUAAUCACACAGGAAAACAGGAAGCCCUGAACCCCGGGCUCGGGAAGCGGCGGGGCGUCAGGUUUGGAGGGGCUUCGUCUCCCACCACCUCCCCAUUUGCACCCCCAGUCCCUGACCCGCAUCUUUCCUCACCUGGUCACUGUCCCCCACCCUGUCCCCCACCCUGUCCCCCACCCUGUCCCCUGUCUGCCAUCUCCCUCCCAGGAGGGGGCUGCUCCUGCCUAGCACGCGGUGCCCUUCCUCCCACGUCGCUUAAUUAUAUUUGAAAAUACAACAUUUGAAACGUGCAAAGAAUGGAGGGGCUUUUCUGUGAGUGCAGGGUGCCCCUCCCGUGUCCCCCCACCAGGGGGCUUCCCCGUCCAGCCCCGGCUUGUCCCUUUCAUUUUAACAAAACGUCCUCACCACAGUGCAUGUGUGUUUUAUAAAAGCAGUAUUGGAAGUUAAUGCUUUUAAUACA
rnacentral:lncRNA from 1 species